GUAGGGAAUAUUGGACAAUGGGCGCAAGCCUGAUCCAGCCAUGCCGCGUGAGUGAUGAAGGCCUUCGGGUUGUAAAGCUCUUUAGCCGAUGAUUAUAAUGACUGUAGUCGGAAAAUAAGCCCCGGCUAACUUCGUGCCAGCAGCCGCGGUAAUACGAAGGGGGCGAGCGUUAUUCGGAAUCACUGGGCGUAAAGCGUGCGUAGGCGGUUUUGUAAGUUAGGAGUGAAAGCCCAGGGCUCAACCCUGGAAUUGCUCUUAAAACUACAAGGCUAGAAUGUCGGAGAGGAUAGCGGAAUUUCCAGUGUAGCAGUGAAAUGCGUAGAUAUUGGAAGGAACACCAGUGGCGUAAGCGGCUAUCUGGACGACUAUUGACGCUGAGGCACGAAAGCGUGGGGAUCAAACAGGAUUAGAAACCCUGGUAGUCC
rnacentral:rRNA from 1 species